UCAUUGUUAUUAGGAUUUCUGUCUGUUUAGUUUCUUCCGUCGUAUUUUCUUCCUUACUCCUUCUACAGUUGUGAUGUGUCUACUUUAUAGAGUGAAUAUUGUUUAUUUUAUUUUAUCAAUUUAUAUAAUAUUAUUUAUUAUCUAUCACUCUUUACUUCUAUCACUAUCUGUCAAUAUAUCUCUAUAUCUAGAUCUCUAGAUCUCUAUAGAUAUGUAAAUAUCUAUACAGUUUCCCUUCAGCAGCCUGAAGGGAAACUGUCUCUCACCUCAUUCUAAAAUCCGAGUAUACUGCUUGAUGCGUGUGAAAACAUAGUGAUCGGCAACUCCCACUCUCUGUCCCUGUAAAGGUGGCAGAAACGUUUCUGUCCCCAGUGGUUUGAUGUGGAAAAAUGACGUUAAUUGUCCGCAAUCUUUUCACACUGACUGUGUUUUUUCCCCAACGCACACAUGAAGCAGCAGUCCCUCGUGGUAGAAACAGCCAUGGUGUCUGAGCUUCCCCUUAUGGAUAUUCAAUAGAUUGAGUGUCCACAAGCUUCCCAUGGCGGUGUAGGCAGCAGGAAGAUAAAUGAAUGUGGAAAUCCUCUCUGUACAACAGACCCUUUUAAUGCAUGACUUAUAGUGGUGCUGUUUUAUUCAUUAACUUUGGCCUUCUUCUGUUUGUAGCUUCAAUCAAACAGAAGGGUGGCUUCACACAGCAGGAGGAGCUUGAAUACGGCCGCUGCAACACCCACGUCAGAUACAACGAGAUGCAAGCCAAAGAGAACUGAAGGGACUAAACGCUCUGGGAACAAACCAUCGUAGCCGCCUCUCCUGGUGUCAGUAAAACAUUUGUUACCAAAAACAUUUGGCAGGAUGACUCUGUUUGCAUUUAGUGUGCGCCCCCCGGCACGAAUAUAACAACAGCACAAAUUUAGCAAUAUAGCACUUGGGUCUUUUGGACCCAAGUGAUCAAUGUGCUUCAGCCCAUAUGGACCCAUAUAAUGAAUCACCCUACAAUUACAGUGAAUCUCCCCGCAAGUUCAGUGAGUCACCCUAGAGUAGGGUAAAUUUGAACAUUGGCUUCCUGUAGGAAGACCUUCCUGAGACCAAUCUGUUAUUUAUCCCCAGAGUAUACAAAAAACAUGGGAAAGCAGGAUUUAGUUAUGCAACAAAUAUCUGGAAUAAACUCCCUGAGGAUUUAAGACUUGCCCCAACUCUGACAACUUUUAAAACAAUACCGAAGACUUUAAUGUUUGCUUUAGCUUUCUGCUAAUCUUAAAUACAUUGCACUUUAAAAAAAAUAAUUAAAAAGGCCGUUUUAGCUUUACCUUUAUUUACUAUUUUUACCAGAGAGAUACAUGAUCUGAGAAAGGAUAAGGGUUUGAGACCCGAGUUUUGUCUGGGUUAGAGUCCUAGAAUCCGGGUUGGAGUCCCAGAAUUUGGGUUAGAAACCCAGAGAAAUACCCAGAGAAAGGACCAAGUUCCUUUAGGUCGGGUUGGAGUACCAGAGAGAAUGUUGAUCUGAUCUUAAACAUAUUGCACUUUCUAAAAUGCUUUUUUAACUUUGCCUUUAUUUUCUAUUUUCUAUAUCUAUUUUACUCAUUUUUUGCAUAUGUUUUCUUUUCUAUCAUUUAAUUUUAUUGUAUGACAAAUGUUUAUAUGUGAAGCACUUGUGUAUGAAAAGUGCUAUAUAAAUAAAGUUGCCUUGCCUUGCCUUGAAUCACCAAACAAGUAAAGUGAAUAUCUAUGUAGGAGAACACUCCUGAGUGUAUUUGCAGAUGGCUUGUUUAACCUGUGCCCACAGUGCGUAUUGCUCCGCCGCCGCCGGAGGAGUCCGCAUACAUUGUUCAGAGAGGUCGGAGAAAUGACAUGGACCCAAAGUGACAGCGAGUGACAGCUGUCUACUGAAAACAUCUUUCUCGAAAGCAGCGUUUGUUGUUGCUGGUGACGUAAAGAGGUCAGCCAGUGGCUCUAUUACCACUAGUUGAAAUGGGUACAGCGCCACCUAUCGUACCGGGGUAUGAAGUGCUUCAGCUAAUGAAUCAAUUUUCUCACCGCCAUGUAUAAUCUCACAAUUGCAGUUGUCCAAUUGAGGAGCAUAGUCGAACUAUGGUUUGAAUCGGAUUAAGUUGUGCAUGUAAACGUAUACCAAGUGAGGUUUCUAAACCAGCCAUCAUCCACACACACUCCCACAGUAGGCUUAUGGUGCUAAACUAUUGUUUUCUACCAUUACAUAACAGGUUGAUCUCUCCUCCAUCCUCCUUACUGUUAUAAAAUCCAGCAUCCAAUAGUACAGGGGAACGGUUGAUGCCUGGUUAAAUCAGCCUCACCUGACCUGAGUCGGCCUGACUAGACUCGGGCUAGGGGAGGUAAUUACUGGCUGCACACCUGUGCAGCCAGUAAUUAAGGCGCACAGGUUAAACCAGCCAUCACCACACACACGCACACACACAAACACCGAGCUCCGACAUGUCAAGUAAAUGUGGGGCUAGACUGUCUUCAGGAAGGUUAGUCUCUAGAAGACAAGAUACGGUCACCAAAUAUUUAUGCAAAUUAUGAAUAAAUAAAACACCACUACACACAAACCAAAUGAAAACGGUUCCACAGAACCAUAAUGAAACUACUCAAGGCAAGCACGGGUGACUCAAACCAUUCGUUAAAACACCCAUACAAGAUGCCUACUCUAGACUCUGCCUCAUCUUAUAGCCUCCAGCAGAAAGCCCCGCAAGAAAACAAGGCCUGUUCAAUUGAUUCAUGAAAGGCCCAUUGAAAUCUAAGAUAUCUGGGACAAGCAGUUGUUGGCUCCCCUUGUCUUUGUCUAAAAACUUACUGAACUGGAACACCUGCCCAUCCAACAGUUAAAGUUGGUGACUGCAGGUGAGUGGAAUCUCUUUUUGUAAAGAAAUCAAACACCAAACUAAGGCUAGCCUCAGCUG
rnacentral:lncRNA from 1 species